UUGUAUGUGAAAGUGUUUUCAAAAUAAAACUUUUUAAAACUUACAGUUUUAGAAAAGUAACAUAGUUUUGCAUAAAAAAAAGCAAGGUCGUUCCAUGUUCAUUUCUCAUACCAGUGAAGAGAAGGUCCUUGAUUCCUCAAAAGAAUUGCAACUCUAUUUGUAAAGAAUGAAAUAUCAAAUUGGUUUGCUUCAUGAAAUUUAAUAUAAUUUUGCGUAGAGGCAGAAAUUUUAUUAAGAGGUCUUAUUGAAUAAAGAAAUUGGGACAAUA